AUUGAACGCUGGCGGCAUGCCUUACACAAGCAAGUCGAACGGCAGCACGGGAGCAAUCCUGGUGGCGAGUGGCGAACGGGUGAGUAAAGUAUCGGAACGUGCCCAGUCGUGGGGGAUAACGUAGCGAAAGUUACGCUAAUACCGCAUACGAUCUAUGGAUGAAAGCGGGGGAUCGCAAGACCUCGCGCGAUUGGAGCGGCCGAUAUCAGAUUAGGUAGUUGGUGGGGUAAAGGCUCACCAAGCCGACGAGCUGUAGCUGGUCUGAGAGGACGACAAGCCACACUAGGACUGAGACACGGCCCAGACUCCUACGGGAGGCAGCAGUGGGGAAUUUUGGACAAUGGGCGAAAGCCUGAUCCAGCCAUGCCGCGUGCAGGAUGAAGGCCUUCGGGUUGUAAACUGCUUUUGUACGGAACGAAAAGGUUUGGCCUAAUAAGCUGAGUCCAUGACGGUACCGUAAGAAUAAGCACCGGCUAACUACGUGCCAGCCGCCGCGGUAA
rnacentral:rRNA from 1 species